AGAGUUUGAUCCUGGCUCAGGAUGAACGCUAGCGGCAGGCUUAAUACAUGCAAGUCGUGGGGCAGCAUGAAUGUAGCAAUACAUUUGAUGGCGACCGGCAAACGGGUGCGGAACACGUACACAAUCUUCCUAUAAGUGGGGAAUAGCCCAGAGAAAUUUGGAUUAAUACCCCGUAACAUAACGAUGUGGCAUCACAUUGUUAUUAUAGCUUCGGCGCUUAUUGAUGGGUGUGCGGCUGAUUAGAUAGUUGGCGGGGUAACGGCCCACCAAGUCUACGAUCAGUAGCUGAUGUGAGAGCAUGAUCAGCCACACGGGCACUGAGACACGGGCCCGACUCCUACGGGAGGCAGCAGUAAGGAAUAUUGGUCAAUGGACGCAAGUCUGAACCAGCCAUGCCGCGUGAAGGAUUAAGGUCCUCUGGAUUGUAAACUUCUUUUAUCUGGGACGAAAAAAGGCUAUUCUUAGUCACUUGACGGUACCAGAUGAAUAAGCACCGGCUAACUCCGUGCCAGCAGCCGCGGUAAUACGGAGGGUGCAAGCGUUAUCCGGAUUCACUGGGUUUAAAGGGUGCGUAGGCGGGCAGGUAAGUCAGUGGUGAAAUCCUGGAGCUUAACUCCAGAACUGCCAUUGAUACUAUCUGUCUUGAAUAUUGUGGAGGUAAGCGGAAUAUGUCAUGUAGCGGUGAAAUGCUUAGAUAUGACAUAGAACACCUAUUGCGAAGGCAGCUUACUACGCAUAUAUUGACGCUGAGGCACGAAAGCGUGGGGGAUCAAACAGGAUUAGAUACCCUGGGUAGUCCACGCCCUAAACGAUGGAUACUCGACAUACGCGAUACACUGUGUGUGUCUG
rnacentral:rRNA from 1 species